CUCUUCAAACAGCUAGUGGAAGUUUCUAGAUCACAAGCUGUGGUUCUCAUGCAGGACUUCAGUCACCCUGACAUCUGCUGGGAGGGCAGUACAGCAGUGCACAGGAAAUCCAGG